rnacentral:rRNA from 1 species
UGGGGAAUAUUGCACAAUGGGGGAAACCCUGAUGCAGCGACGCCGCGUGAGCGAUGAAGUAUUUCGGUAUGUAAAGCUCUAUCAGCAGGAAGAAAUGACGGUACCUGACUAAGAAGCCCCGGCUAACUACGUGCC